rnacentral:rRNA from 1 species
CCUACGGGUGGCUGCAGUGGGGAAUAUUGGACAAUGGGCGAAAGCCUGAUCCAGCCAUGCCGCGUGUGUGAAGAAGGCCUUCGGGUUGUAAAGCACUUUCAGUGGGGAAGAAAGCCUUGGGGCUAAUACCCUCGAGGAAGGACAUCACCCACAGAAGAAGCACCGGCUAACUCCGUGCCAGCAGCCGCGGUAAUACGGAGGGUGCGAGCGUUAAUCGGAAUUACUGGGCGUAAAGCGCGCGUAGGCGGUCUGAUAAGCCGGUUGUGAAAGCCCCGGGCUCAACCUGGGAACGGCAUCCGGAACUGUCAGGCUAGAGUGCAGGAGAGGAAGGUAGAAUUCCCGGUGUAGCGGUGAAAUGCGUAGAGAUCGGGAGGAAUACCAGUGGCGAAGGCGGCCUUCUGGACUGACACUGACGCUGAGGUGCGAAAGCGUGGGUAGCAAACAAGAUUAGAUACCCCAGUAGUC